UCCAACUUAUCGCUGGCAGUCUCAUUAGAGUGCCCUUGCGUAGCAACUAAUGAUAAGGGUUGCGCUCGUUGCGGGACUUAACCCAACAUCUCACGACACGAGCUGACGACGGCCAUGCAGCACCUGUGUCCUAGUUCUCUUUCGAGCACUCCUACAUCUCUGCGGAAUUCCGAGGGGUUCCAACCCAGGUAAGGUUCUUCGCGUUGCGUCGAAUUGAACCACAUGCUCCACCGCUUGUGCGGGCCCCCGUCAAUUCCUUUGAGUUUUAGCCUUGCGGCCGUACUCCCCAGGCGGGGUGCUUAACGCGUUAGCUACGACGCCUCCGGGGUCAAUACCAGAAACAUCUAGCACCCAUCGUUUACGGCGUGGACUAC
rnacentral:misc_RNA from 1 species